ensembl:lncRNA LINC01140 long intergenic non-protein coding RNA 1140
CACGCAAGGUCAGGCGUCCUGCUGGCGCCCUCUCGCCACCCUGCCCUCCCGUCAGAAGCCCGGCUCCUCGCCGGGGAAGGCCGGAUGCUGGCCCGCCGGGACCUGGGACUUGUGCCACAUGGAGUGUCGGGAGUCUCCAUUGCCGCGAGUUCUACACCACAGGGCCAGGCUGUUUGCUCCCCAUCGGUCGCUGCCCCCAGCACCCUGUUGUUAUUAAGGACUCAUUUGCUUGGAGCGGCAUCAUUACAAGGGUGUGGGGUACUACAUAUACUCCCUAUUUUUCUAUUUUCGAAAGGCUGCAGGCGCGAUGCACAGUGCGCUUGCACGGUGGGGCCUAGUGCUAGCCCGAGGAGCGGACGGGGGCCGGGCAGGGGCGGUGGGCGCCGGCCUCGUCUCGGUGCUGCUCGGUCAGGCUGUCCCGGCGCGGCGGCCUCGGGAGGCCCUGCCGUCCUUCACCCCUGGAGGCGGGCUGGGGGGCGGGUGCGGGGCGCUUCCCCUCCUCAGGGCCCUCAAACCGCAAGGGGGUUUCCGCUUCCCAGUCGAUGGUCGUCCUCUCCCAUCCCCGGCUGCAUCUCCAUUUACCCGUCGCCCAUUUCCUUUGCCCAUCCAGGCUCCUUGGCUCCACUGGGGUCUCCGUUCCCUUCUCCCGGUCCCCCCUCCAGGUCGCGGCUCCUUUGUCCAGGACUACGCAGGGGCUUGACCCCAGGGCGCUGGUUUAGGCCGGAUCUGGGGUCCCUUGUCACUCCCAGGCUUCUUCCACUUCCGAAUUCUGGAGAACCGGGAAUCAAGCCCUGCGCGUUCCUCUUCUUCCUCCUUCGUGCCGAAAGCACGCUUCAUGUCUGCCAGGGCAUCAGUUCUGAAAGUGAGCGGAGAACAAGGAGUUUCUUUUUCUUCCCCAGAAGUUGCCUUUUGUAAGGACUAUGUCUGCGCCAGGGCUUGAUACAUGUUGCUACUCCUGGGAGUGUGAGACUGGGAAGCUGAUGGAAAUGUCAGCAUUAGCUUUAAUGGUGAGGCCAAAGGGAGGAUGGACCCAG